CUGGGCAACCAGUGCGGUGCCCGGUACCGGUUUCGCCGACCCUGUUCUAGAUCAUUCAAAAGUAACCAAACCAACUACAUGACUGUAAAGAAAUUGGCCAGCCUUAAAAGAGGUAGAACUUGACUAGGAUCUAUGAUGCAUCUUAUUGUUCCUUGUGCAACAUUCUCAGCAAUUUGCUUAUCCUAUCCAAUGUACAUAUGUAUAUCUUUGGGCAGAUGUCCUAAAAAGAAUAUGAUCUGCUUUGUCCAUUUGCUUCUCAAGCUACCACAUGUGACUCUAGAAUAUGACUGUAGAAUGGCAUUACAUCAAAAACCACAUGUGAAAGCAAGAAAUCAAUGUUCCAUUGGCUCUUGAUUUGAAGAAUCCAAACAUUGGAUUGUCAUCAUCUUGCUCAUGUCUUUAGAAGAUCUGGCAGCUGCAUCUACGACCUAAAGAGUACCACUGUCAGGCAAGUUCAUUAGAAAAUGGGCUUUUGGUCCUGACUCUGAGGACUUUUGGGAUACACCUUGGAUUUGUAUAUUGUUGAUGAAAAUACCUGAAGCCAUAAUUCCUUAUUGCUGAAUAUUGUCUGGUUUUUUGAGGUUUGUCUCACAGCUGAAUGUACUUAACUACUUCUAUUUCAUGCCCCAUGGGAAACUAUGAACAACCACCUAAAUGUGCAAAACUGCAAAUAAAACAAUCCUAACACGAUAAGGUGGGCUUGAUAUGGGUUCCACUAGGUCCUUGCACCAUCAGAGUAUCUACUCCUUCCCUCUAAUAGCACACUCCAUCCUCUUAAGCCUUUUUCUUAGCUGACUGAUUAGUUUUUGCUCAAUAUUUCCUCCUUUUCUCCAAAUUCUUCCUUCACCAUUUCUAGCUCUACUUGAUUCUAGAAGCUUCCCUCGUUCUGCAUGAUCUUUUACACAUCCCUUCCUAUUUUUGUCAUUCAGUGGACCUCUAAUUUGGAUCUAACUCCUUCCUUUUUGCCCUUUAUGUGUUUCAAGGGCUUCAGCAGUUUGGCUUAGCCUAUGG
rnacentral:lncRNA from 1 species